rnacentral:rRNA from 2 species
UACGAAGGGUGCAAGCGUUAAUCGGAAUUACUGGGCGUAAAGCGUGCGUAGGUGGUUUUUUAAGUCUGCUGUGAAAUCCCCGGGCUCAACCUGGGAAUGGCAGUGGAUACUGGAAAGCUAGAGUGUGAGAGAGGAUGGUGGAAUUCCCGGUGUAGCGGUGAAAUGCGUAGAGAUCGGGAGGAACAUCAGUGGCGAAGGCGGCCAUCUGGCUCAACACUGACACUGAGGCACGAAAGCGUGGGGAGCAAACAGG